rnacentral:rRNA from 1 species
UAAUACAUCGGAACGUGUCCCGUAGUGGGGGAGUAGCCCGGCGAAAGCCGGAUUAAUACCGCAUAUGCUCUACGGAGGAAAGUGGGGGACUCGCAAGGGCCUCACGCUAUGGGAGCGGCCGAUGUCCGAUUAGCUUGUUGGCGGGGUAAUGGCCCACCAAGGCGACGAUCGGUAGCUGGUCUGAGAGGAUGAUCAGCCACACUGGGACUGAGACACGGCCCAG